rnacentral:rRNA from 1 species
AUUGAACGCUGGCGGCAGGCCUAACACAUGCAAGUCGAACGAGUGGCGUAAGGGUGAGUAAUGUAUGGGAAACUGCACGAUGGAGGGGGAUAACUACUGGAAACGGUAGCUAAUACCGCAUCCCCUCGGAUGGGCCCCGAUGGGAUUAGCUCGUGGGUGAGGUAAAGGCUCACCAAGGCGCCGAUCUCGAGCUGGUCUGGGAGGAUGACCCGCCACACUGGAACUGAGACACGGUCCAGACUCCUCCGGGAGGCAGCAGUGGGGAAUAUUGCACAAUGGGCGCAAGCCGGAUGCAGCCAUGCCGCGUGUAUGAAGAAGGCCUUCGGGUUGUAAAGUACUUUCAGCGGGGAGGCGUUACCCGCAGAAGAAGCACCGGCUAACUCCGUGCCAGCAGCCGCGGUAAUUC